UAACGGUCCUAAGGUAGCGAAAUUCCUUGUCGGGUAAGUUCCGACCCGCACGAAUGGUGUAACGAUCUGGGCACUGUCUCAACUACCCACCCGGCGAAAUUGUAGUACCGGUGAAGAUGCCGGUUACCUGCGGCAAGACGGAAAGACCCCAUGGAGCUUUACUGUAGCCUGAUAUUGGGUUUCGGAAAUCUAUGUACAGGAUAGGCGGGAGACUGGGAAGUAUGAGCGUCAGCUUAUACGGAGUCGUUGUUGGGAUACCGCCCUUAGGUUUCUGGAAUUCUAACCUGCGACCGUGAAUCCGGUCGGGGGACAUUGUCAGGUGGGCAGUUUGACUGGGGCGGUCGCCUCCGAAAAGGUAACGGAGGCGCUCAAAGGUUGGCUCAGCACGGACGGAAACCGUGCCUCUGAGUGUAAACGCAAAAGCCAGCCUAACUGCGAGGAUGACGGUCCGAGCAGUAACGAAAGUUGGAGUUAGUGAUCCGGCGGUAUGUGAAUGGAAAUGCCGUCGCUCAACGGAUAAAAGCUACCCUGGGGAUAACAGGCUGAUCUCCCCCAAGAGUCCACAUCGACGGGGAGGUUUGGCACCUCGAUGUCGGCUCAUCACAUCCUGGGGCUGUAUUCGGUCCCAAGGGUUCGGCUGUUCGCCGAUUAAAGUGGUACGCGAGCUGGGUUCAGAACGUCGCGAGACAGUUCGGUCCCUAUCUGUCGUGGGCGCAGGAUAUUUGAGGAGCUCUGUCCUUAGUACGAGAGGACCGGGAUGGACGUACCUCUGGUGCACCAGUUGUCAUGCCAAUGGCACGGCUGGGCAGCUACGUACGGAACGGAUAAACGCUGAAAGCAUCUAAGCGUGAAGCCGACUCCAAGAUUAGAUAUCCCAUUGCAUAAGCAAGUAAGACCCCUUGAGGACUACGAGGUUGAUAGGCUGCGUGUGUAAGUGUCGUGAGGCAUUUAGCUUGGCAGUACUAAUAGGUCGAGGGCUUGACCAC
rnacentral:rRNA from 1 species